ACCAGCGGCGAUAGCUCGUUGAACGCACCAGUUCCCAACGGAUCACUAAUGUUGAGCAACGUUGCGCUUGAUUAGUAUCCAGAUGGGUGACCCUCCGAGCUUUAUUGAUUUUUUUA
rnacentral:rRNA from 1 species